UACGGAGGAUGCAAGCGUUAUCCGGAAUGAUUGGGCGUAAAGGGUCCGCAGGUGGCAGUGUAAGUCUGCUGUCAAAGAAUGAGGCUUAACCUUAUCAAGGCAGUGGAAACUACACAGCUAGAGUACGGUCGGGGUAGAAGGAAUUCCUGGUGUAGGCGGUGAAAUGCGUAGAGAAUCAGGAAGAACACCGGUGGCGAAAGCGUUCUGCUAGACCUGUACUAACACUGAGGGACGAAAGCUAGGGGAGCGAAUGGG
rnacentral:rRNA from 1 species